UACGUAGGGGGCAAGCGUUGUCCGGAUUUAUUGGGCGUAAAGAGCGUGUAGGCGGCCAGGUAGGUCUGCUGUGAAAACUCGAGGCUUAACCUCGAGCUGUCGGCGGAAACCAUCUGGCUAGAGUCCGGAAGGGGAGAAUGGAAUUCCCGGUGUAGCGGUGAAAUGCGCAGAUAUCAGGAAGAACACCCGUGGCUAAGGCGGCUCUCUAGUACGGUACUGACGCUGAGACGCGAAAGCGUGGGGAGCGAACAGG
rnacentral:rRNA from 1 species